rnacentral:lncRNA from 1 species
CGACACCAACCUGGACUACAUAGCAAAACUCUCUCAAAGCAAACAAACAACAAAAACCAGUUUAUAUUCUAGUGCCCCUUUUCUUCCGAACUGGCUCGUGAAGAUUUUUGGAAGCAAGCGGUAAUACUAAGGAUGCCUUAUGAAAAUCUUUGACGUUCUGAAUAUUAUGGUAUGGAAGAAGAGGGAAAAUCCAGGAUCCAGGAAAACGCAGAGAUCCACUAGGAGUCUUGCGCGUUCCAGCGCUCCAGGUUGGGGUUCCCGACCUUUGCCAUGGUGUUGGGGAGGCUGUGGGGUUCCAAUGGGGAUCCAGCCCUGAAGGCUUCUGGCAAAAGAAUCGGAGCCCUCUCGCGGCGGGGCUGCCCUCGGCAGAGGCCACAGGUCCCUUUAAGGCGCCCCGCGAGCCGAGAUUGGGGAGCGAAGGGGGCGGGAGCAAGGUUCCCGAGCGCCCGCCACGUGACUCGGAUUGCAAGUUCGCCUGCGAGUUUGACAGAAGUUUGAAUCGGACUCGAGGGCUUUCUGCAGCCGGCGGGGCAGCGCGGUGGCCACAGCCUCGGCGAGCGCAAGCAGCAGCGCCCCCACGACCCACCCCGCCAGCCUGGAUCCCGGCCCGCCGACGGGCGCGAGCCAGCAGCCCCCAACUCCAUCGCGGUCCCCGCAGCCUCCCGGCGAGGGAGCCGAGCCCCGGUGCUGCGCCCCGGCCCCGCGCGCCAGCAUGUCCUCGACGGAGAGCUCCGGCCGCACCGCGGACAAGUCGCCGCGCCAGCAGUCUGAGUAGGAGGAGGGGGGACAGCGCAGUCCUCGGCCCGGAUGUCUUCACCGCGCGCUGGCUCUGUCUCUGCAGGUGGACCGCCUGCUUGUGGGGCUGCGCUGGGGGCGGCUGGAGGAGCCGUUGGGCUUCAUCAAAGUUCUCCAGUGGGUGAGUCUCUGUCCCAACCCCGGGCUAUUUCGGGAGCCCGGGCUGUGACGCUGACCCGAAGCAAUGUGGCCCGGGUGGGGGCUGGGGAGGUGCUGCAGUCGGGCCAUCACCGCGGAA